rnacentral:rRNA from 1 species
CCUUAACUGAAUAUAUAGGUUAAGUGUAGCGAACCUGGGGGAACUGAAAACAUCUAAGUAUCCAGAGGAAAAUAAAUCAACCGAGAUUCCCAAAAGUAGUGGCGAGCGAAAUGGGAACAGCCUUCAAUAUUUAGCAUUUGAAUUAAUCGAAUUUUCUGGAAAGUUAAGCCAUAGUAGGUGAUAGCCCUGUAGAUGAAAAUUCAAAUGUGGAACUAAGAUUGAGACAAGUAGGGCGGGACACGUGAAAUCCUGUUUGAAUAUGGGGGGACCAUCCUCCAAGGCUAAAUACUCGUAAUCGACCGAUAGUGAACCAGUACCGUGAGGGAAAGGCGAAAAGAACCCCGGAAGGGGAGUGAAUAGAUCCUGAAACCGCAUGCAUACAAACAGUGGGAGCGGACUUGUUCCGUGACUGCGUACCUUUGUAUAUGGGUCAGCGACUUACAUUCAGUAGCAAGCUUAACCGAGUAGGGGAAGCGCAGCGAAGCGAGUCUUAA